rnacentral:miRNA from 1 species
UGUAACACUGAUCGCAGUGACAGGCUGUCACUGCGAUCAGAGCGCUCUGACACACGUUAAAAACUGAUCGCAGUGACAGCCUGUCACUGCGAUCAGUGAC